rnacentral:rRNA from 1 species
ACUGCGAGUGAAGAGGGAAGAGCUCAAAUUUAAAAUCUGUCAGUUUUUAGCUGACCGAGUUGUAAAUUAGAGAAGUGCUAUCAGCGCUGGCCUGUGCAAAAGUCUCUUGGAAAAGAGCAUCAUAGAGGGUGACAAUCCCGUCUUUGGUACAGAGCUCCAGGGCUACAUGAUGUGCUCUCAAUGAGUCGAGUUGUUUGGGAAUGCAGCUCUAAAUGGGUGGUAAAUUCCAUCUAAAGCUAAAUAUUGGCGAGAAACCGAUAGCGCACAAGUACCGUGAGGGAAAGAUGAAAAGAACUUUGAAAAGAGAGUUAAACAGUACGUGAAAUUGUUGAAAGGGAAACGCUUGAAGUCAGUCGUGUCCUUCAGAAAUCAACCUGACUUUGGUCUGGCUUACUUUCUGUUGGAUGGGUCAGCAUCAAUUUUGAUCAUUGGAUAAAGACCUUGGGAAAGUGGCAUCUCCGGAUGUGUUAUAGCCCUGGGAUCACAUACAAUGGUUGGGAUUGAGGAACUCAGUGUGAAUUUGGGGUAUACUCACAACACGCACUUAGGAUGCUGGCAUAAUGGCUUUAAUCGACCCGUCUUGAAACACGGACCAAGGAGUCUAACAUACAUGCGAGUGUUUGGGUGGAAAACUCAAGCGCGUAAUGAAAGUGAAAGUUGAGAACCCUGUCGUGGGGUGCAUCGACGCCCGGACCUGACCUUUUGUGAUGGACCUGCGGUAGAGCAUGCAUGUUGGGACCCGAAAGAUGGUGAACUAUGCCUGAAUAGGGUGAAGCCAGAGGAAACCCUGGUGGAAGCUCGUAGCGAUUCUGACGUGCAAAUCGAUCGUCGAAUUUGGGUAUAGGGG